rnacentral:lncRNA from 1 species
AUGUGGGCCCUGGCAAAAAAUUGGUGGUUACGAAAUAUUGACGAAGGAGGUAACAUAGGAGGGUUCCAGCAAAAUAGAGCACCCGUUCCAUUUGUUAAGGGACAUGUCAAACUGUGUGGAAGAGCCGCAGGAAGGUCCGUCCAGCUGGCCUGUGCCUGCAGCCAGCUGAUGGUGUCCCUUGGUGCCAUCGUGCUCCUUCGAGAAGCAAUAAAAAUGGUUUGUACCACACUUGGGAUGAAGUUCAGGAAGUGGGUCAUCAAAGAUGAUGCACGCUCUCCUCUAUUCUGCAUCUAUGCUGUGAGACAUGCUAUGAGUACUCAGUGCCCCACAAUGCACUGAUCUUCACGCAUGCACACACAGGAGGGGGAUUCGAGGUACGCUUCUGGGCAGAGAGGACGCUGCAAUUCCAGAUGCACACUAUCAUGAAGCCCAUGUUUACCACGUGCAGGGCUUUUUAAGAUUAUAGGCUGUCUUUCAAGCAAAGCAGCCUCUACCACUAAUAAUUCCAUUCUAUCAGACAAAGUAGGAAAAACACUACUGGUUAGUGUCUCGAGCAAAGAGAAAAUCAGACUAUAAACUCUCGUGCCCAUGAGAGACAGACUCCCGUGGAGAGCUAUCUGGCCAAGGAAUGCUGUUUUAAAGGAACACAACCAUCCGGGUGGCCAACUGAAAAUACAAAAUGCUAAAAUGUAUGCAGAGUGAAGCUGCCUUGGUUUAUCAUGGAGGUGCAGUCCCACGGAUGGGGGUCUGGCUGAAACUCUGAAUGUCACUAAAUUUUGUCACAUCCGGAGCAUGAUUAAUGCCCAGAGAGGCUUAAGGACUUGUAAUGAGGCUAAUAACAACUGGUUACCACUGGAAAGUGGUCCUGCUGCCAGAAAAACAAAUGAUCAGACACUUAAAGCCUCUAUCAGGAUGGAAAAAGGCAUUUUGCCAAGUUUUGUCCCCUCUUAGAAACCGCCCGGUCAGCUCUCUGAACUCUACUUGAACUUCAGCACUCCACAGUUGCUUCACUGGCUGAAAUAUAUUUCUUGUAUUUAAGCAGACCUACAAAUCUAUGGAAAGUUGAAAAAGUUUCACGUUCCCAAUUUUUUUGGGGAAAAAAAGGAAUAUUAUAAAUAGACACACAGAAAAAUACCUUAUGAAAAACAUUAAAAGUUCUAUGGGGUUGUUGAGUGACAAAUUUUUAAUGCACCUCACAUUUUCCAAAUUUUCUAAUGUGAACAUACAUUAUUUUUAUAUAACCAGGAAACUUUAUAAACUUUUUAAGAAGAAA